rnacentral:rRNA from 1 species
AUGAUAUACGCAACCCACAUCCCCAAGAGGGAGCGGAAGCAUGCGCUCAGGGACGUAUAUGCGUUGGAGCCAGUCGCCCCAAAGUUCAACCCUUGGUCCUCCUGUCUGAUCACCUUCGAUCACAGGGACCACCCUACUAGUAUCCGUCAUGGCGGAUUCGCCGCACUGGUCCUAGACCCAAUCAUCGACGGAUUUCACCUCACUCGAGUCCUUAUGGACGGCGGCAGCAGCCUGAACCUGCUUUACCAGGACACAGUGCGCAAAAUGGGUAUAGACCCCUCAAGGAUCAAACCCACAAAAACGACCUUUAAGGGCGUCAUUCCAGGCAUAGAGGCCCAUUAUACAAGCUCAAUUACACUGGAAGUGGUCUUCGGAUCCCCGGAUAACUUCCGAAGCGAAGAGUUAAUCUUCGAUAUAGUCCUGUUCUGCAGUGGUUAUCACGCGCUGCUCAGGCGAACCGCAUUUGCUAGAUUCAAUGCGGUACCGCAUUAUGCAUACCUCAAACUCAAGAUGCCAGGACCUCGCGGAGUUAUUACAGUCAAUGGAAACACAGAGCGCUCUCUCUGA